AGAGUUUGAUCCUGGCUCAGAUUGAACGCUGGCGGCAUGCCUUACACAUGCAAGUCGAACGGUAACGCGGGGGCAACCCUGGCGACGAGUGGCGAACGGGUGAGUAACAUAUCGGAACGUGCCCUGGAGUGGGGGAUAGCUCGGCGAAAGCCGGAUUAAUACCGCAUACGAUCCACGGAUGAAAGUGGGGGACCGCAAGGCCUCACGCUCCUGGAGCGGCCGAUAUCUGAUUAGCUAGUUGGUGGGGUAAUGGCCUACCAAGGCGACGAUCAGUAGCUGGUCUGAGAGGACGACCAGCCACACUGGGACUGAGACACGGCCCAGACUCCUACGGGAGGCAGCAGUGGGGAAUUUUGGACAAUGGGGGCAACCCUGAUCCAGCAAUGCCGCGUGUGUGAAGAAGGCCUUCGGGUUGUAAAGCACUUUUGUCCGGAAAGAAAUCCCCUGGGAUAAUACCCCGGGGGGAUGACGGUACCGGAAGAAUAAGCACCGGCUAACUACGUGCCGGCAGCCGCGGUAAUACGUAGGGUGCGAGCGUUAAUCGGAAUUACUGGGCGUAAAGCGUGCGCAGGCGGUUGUGCAAGACAGGUGUGAAAUCCCCGGGCUUAACCUGGGAACUGCAUUUGUGACUGCACGGCUAGAGUGUGUCAGAGGGGGGUAGAAUUCCACGUGUAGCAGUGAAAUGCGUAGAUAUGUGGAGGAAUACCGAUGGCGAAGGCAGCCCCCUGGGAUAACACUGACGCUCAUGCACGAAAGCGUGGGGAGCAAACAGGAUUAGAUACCCUGGUAGUCCACGCCCUAAACGAUGUCAACUAGUUGUCGGGGAUUAAUUUCCUUGGUAACGCAGCUAACGCGUGAAGUUGACCGCCUGGGGAGUACGGUCGCAAGAUUAAAACUCAAAGGAAUUGACGG
rnacentral:rRNA from 1 species